rnacentral:rRNA from 1 species
AUUGAACGCUGGCGGCAGGCCUAACACAUGCAAGUCGAACGAGUGGCGGACGGGUGAGUAAUGUCUGGGAAACUGCCCGAUGGAGGGGGCUAACUACUGGAAACGGUCGCUAAUACCGCAUACCAUCGGAUGUGCCCAGCUGGGAUUAGCUAGUAGGUGGGGUACUGGCUCACCUAGGCGACGAUCCCUAGCUGGUCUGAGAGGAUGACCGGCCACACUGGAACUGGGAAACGGGCCAGACUCCUACGGGAGGCAGCAGUGGGGAAUAGUGGACAAGGGGCGCAAGCCUGAUGCAGCCAGGCCGCGUGGAUGAAGAGGGCCUUCGGGUUGUAAAGUACUUUCAGCGAGGAGGCGUUACUCGCAGAAGAAGCACCGGCUAACUCCGUGCCAGGAGCCGCGGUAAUAC